rnacentral:lncRNA from 1 species
AAUCAGUAGAAGAAGGUAAAAUGCUACACAAAUUGUCAAUUCCAAAAGAAGACUAAUGUGUUUUUGGUAAAAGAUAAGAAGUCAUGAGAAUGUGGAUUUUUUUCUGCCUAGAUUAAAGGGCUAAAGGAUUGUUAUAAGUUAGAUAAGAUAAAGCUGAAGGUUUCAGAAGAAACAAGAGGGAUAGGUAAUGUAAAAAUCUGGAUCAGUAUUCUAAUUCUGGAUAUGUAUUGGAAUCAGCCAGCGACCCCAUAGCAGCUUGGUUCCGUAAAAUGAGGCUGGGCUGAGACCUACUGGGCUGUAUUCCCAGGAGGUUAGGCAUUCUAAGUCACAGGAUGAGAUAGGAGUUUGGCACAAGAUACAGGUCACAAAGACCUUGCUGAUAAAACAACAUGUGGUAAAGAAGCCAGCCAAAACCCACCAAAACCAAGAUGGCAACGAAGAUGACCUCUAGUUGUCCUCACUGCUCAUUAUAUGCUAAUUAUAAUGCAUUAACAUGCUAAAAGACACUCCCACUAGUGUCAUGACAGUUUACAGAUGCCAUGGCAACAUCAGGAAGUUACCAUAUAUGGUCUAAAAAGGGGAGGAACCCUCAAUUCCAAAAAUUGCCCACCCCUUUCCCAGAAAACUCAUUCAUCUACCCCUUGUUUAGCAUAUAAUCAAGAAGUAACAAUAAGUAUCCUUACCCAAGCAGCUCAAGCCAUUGCUCUGCCUAUGGAGCAGCCAUUCUCUCUUCCUUUACCUUCUUAAUAAACUUGCUUUCACUUGAAACAAAAAAUCAAUGGCCUAUGAUCCUACUUUAAGAAUAAAAAGGAGAGCAAAUUAAAUCAAAGAUCA